rnacentral:rRNA from 1 species
GACGAACGCUGGCGGCGUGCUUAACACAUGCAAGUCGAACGGAAAGGCCUCUUUCGGGGGGUACUCGAGUGGCGAACGGGUGAGUAACACGUGAGUAACCUGCCCUUGACUUUGGGAUAACUUCAGGAAACUGGGGCUAAUACCGGAUAGGAGCUCCUGCUGCAUGGUGGGGGUUGGAAAGUUUCGGCGGUUGGGGUUGGACUCGCGGCUUAUCAGCUUGUUGGUGGGGUAUUGGCUUACCAAGGCUUUGACGGGUAGCCGGCCUGAGAGGGUGACCGGCAACAUUGAGACUGAGAUACAGCCCAGACUCCUACGGGAGGCAGCAGUGGGGAAUAUUGCACAAUGGGUGGGAGCCUGAUGCAGCAACGCCGUGUGCGGGAUGACGGCCUUCGGGUUGUAAACCGCUUUCGCUCAUGACGAAGCUUUGUGUGACGGUAGUGGGUAAAGAAGCACCGGCUAACUACGUG